rnacentral:lncRNA from 1 species
CUUUGGCCUCCCAAAAUGCUGGGAUUACAGGUGUGAGCCACCACGCCCAGACUGCUUCUUGCAUUUCUAUGAAGAGAACCAACUGGCAAAUAUUUCCUGAGUUCCCAUCACAAGCACUGAGCUGGGUACUAGAGCUGGAGGUUCCUGGAGCUGGGAACCUCAGGAUGGGUAUGAACAUAAAAAAUGGAAGGGAGGGAGGGGGCAGGAUGAAGUAGGGAGGACGUGUAACAGAUCAACGUAACGAGAGUCAUGGCACUGAGCUGGAGAGUGCAAGGGCCCACAGGCAGGGUCAAGUCUGCCAGGGAAGUGCAGGGAGGAGGCCUCCUGGAGGAGGUGGUGCCCAAGCUGCAUCUUCAAAAAUGGGCAGGCGGGCCCCGGCAAACAGGGAGGCCCGGCGUUCCAGAAAAGGGAGCAGGGUGAACAGGGGCACUGAGGCAAGGCUCAGCUGUGCAUAGUGAUCGGGAGCUGGCUGGGGAUAAGAAUGGUCAAGGGCACAGAGGUGUGAUGACCAGGGCAAGGCAAGGAAUGAAUGUGAUGAGUUUCCACAGAGGUUCCCUAUGGGAAGGCCUCAUCUGCUGUUGAGCAGUAUGGCCUUUCUGUAGGUGAUGGGGAGCCCCUCAGGGCUUAAGCUAGGUGGUAGCCGGCUCAGUUCUGCUGUGAAAGAAUGCUCACUCUAGCUGCAACAUGGAGAGGCAGGCAUAGGGAGGUGGAGGUUACAAUGAAGCUGAGGCAGGAAACGGAAGUAAAAUUGCCGGGAAGCAACCAGGAAGGGCUGUGGCAGCUGCCAGGCAAAGGUCUGAACUCUGCCAGGGGCUUUGAGGCUGGGAAUGCUGAGUAGGGAGGCAGAAUGUGCACGCUGUGGUUCCCGAAUGAAUGGCUCUGAGGGAGGAAGGCAUCUUGGAUGAUCCCAGGUUUUGGGAUUGGGUGAGGCAGGAUAGGUGGCGGUGCUACUCACAAAGAGGAAAGGCAAGGAGAGGCAGUCAGGGGACAUGCUGAGUUUGAGAUUCCAGGAACAACUUCAGCAGGUGAGUAGGUGGCAGGAAGAAGCCAAGAGAGACUUGAAAUCAAGACAGGAAAGAGCUGAUGGGGCAAGGUCCUGAUCCUGGAGAAGUGGAGGGGAAGCUCCGGGUGGAGGUUACUAUGAAGCUGAAAGCAUAGCUCCAGGCUGAGCGUAGAGGUGAGAGGCUGAGGGAGCGCAGAGAGUUUGUUGGCCUGGAGGUGGGAAACAGCGGGAGUUCACACCUGACGGGUUCAGGGUUCUCAGAUGUGAGCUGAGCCUGGGAGCUGACAUUCUGAGAAUGGCCAAAGGGUACACAGCCAUUGUGGGGACUGGGAAAGGGAAGUGACGAAAGUCAGGUAAAAGACUUGCAGAGGUGGACCAGAGGGCCACGUUGAGGGUGAAGCAAUUGUGUUUUUGGUUAUGUUUUGCUUUUUUUUUUUUUCUCUUUUUCUUUUCCUUUUGAAGACAGAAUCUUGCUCUCUCACCCAGGUUGGAGUGCAGCGGGGCGACCUCGGCUCACUGCAACCCCUGCCUCCCGGGUUCAAGCGAUUCUCCUGUCUCAGCCUCCAGAGUAGCUGGAACUACAGGCGCCUGCCACCACGCCCAGCUACUUUUUGUAUUUUUUGUAGAGAUGAGGUUUUGCCAUGUUGCCCAGGGAGGUCUCGAACUCCUGAGCUCAGGCAAGCCACCCACCUCGGCCUCCCAAAGUGUUGGGAUUGCAGGUGUGAGCCACUGUGCCAGCUCUUUUUACCAUUUAUUGUAGACUUUUUUUUUUUUGAGAUGGAGUCUUGCUCUGUCACCCAGGCUGCAGUGCAGUGGUGCGAUCUCGGCUCACUGCAAGCUCCGCCUCCUGGGUUCAUGCCAUUCUCCUGCCUGAGCCUCCCAAGUAGCUG